rnacentral:rRNA from 1 species
CCUACGGGAGGCAGCAGUGGGGAAUAUUGCGCAAUGGGGGCAACCCUUACGCAGCAACGCCGCGUGAUUGAAGAAGGCCUUCGGGUUGUAAAGAUCUUUAAUCGGGGACGAAUUUUGACGGUACCCGAAGAAUAAGCUCCGGCUAACUACGUGCCAGCAGCCGCGGUAAUACGUAGGGAGCAAGCGUUAUCCGGAUUUACUGGGUGUAAAGGGCGUGUAGGCGGGCACGCAAGCCAGAAGUGAAAUCCGGGGGCUCAACCCCCGAACUGCAUUUGAAACUGUUGGUCUUGAGUAUCGGAGAGGCAGGCGGAAUUCCUAGUGUAGCGGUGAAAUGCGUAGAUAUUAGGAGGAACACCAGUGGCGAAGGCGGCCUGCUGGACGACAACUGACGGUGAGGCGCGAAAGCGUGGGGAGCAAACAGGAUUAGAUACCCUGGUAGUC